UCCCCCAACCCUCGAGGCUCUUUCCCCUUCCCCCAACCCUAGCCGCCGCACGCAGCAGCCAUGGCGGACUGCACCUUCAGCGCCGGCAGCCGCCGCUCGUCCAUGCUGUGAAGCCAUCCCCGCCCUGCUCGCCUUCGUCCGCUGCUGUCGCGGACCAUCUCCUCCGUCCCCGACCACACAUCCCCGCCCUCGUCUGCCGCCAUCACCGACCGGCUCCUCCGUCCCCGACAAGUCAUCCCCGUCCUGCUCGCCGUCUUCCGCCAAAGAACCCGGCGGCUGUGUCGAUUCUCUGCCUCCCCGACCACCUCUUCCGAUUUUGCGAAGCUUGUUGCACUAUCCCAUGUGAAGAAGCAAUCUAUCUGAGAAAGAAAUUUUAAGAGGCUGGCCUAUUAAUUUUAAGAGGAUUUUUAACCCAGCUUUUUCUGUUUAGUGCUGGUUUGGCUUGCCUUAGCUUUUAUAUUUGAACAAUCAGGUUCACAAAUAGAUACCAACCUAGACACGAGCUGGAUAAACCCUAUCUGAUUUUGUUUUCUCCCCUUGAGAUUUGCAGGGGAGGUUGCAUUGCCCGGAGGAAAGGCAGAGGAGGGUGAUGUUGAUGAUGCAGCAACAUCAUUAAGGGAGGCAAAGGAGGAGAUUGGGCUUGAUCCAGCCUUGGUCACUGUCGUUUCCUCGCUUGAGCACUUCUUGCCCAAGUUGUUUCGUCGCUGCGAGGGUCUGGUGUUCAACGACCUCCCCGUGCGUUCAACGAGCUCCGCCCCGGCGUUCGUGGGUGAGCACAAAUGACAUCUCCUCCUCCCCCAAUCAUUUGUUAUGUUCCGGUCUUCAUGCCGAUGAAACAUGCUAGCUGUAGGUAGAUUGAAU